rnacentral:lncRNA from 1 species
AAAUCACGACAGAACAUCAAGAUUUGUAAGUUUACUCCCCAAGAACAUCUUGGAGAGUAAACACCUUUUCAAGAGCCAAAUGGUGCCUAGUCUUUCCUUAAGCCAUGAAACUAGUUUGGACUUGUACACAAAUGAGUUUUGGAACAUAAAAUAAGCUCAAAACAAUAAGAUUUGAGAGUUUACUCCCCAAGAACAUCUUGGAGAGUAAACUCCAUUUGGAGAGUAAACUCCAUUUUAAGGGCAAUAGUGUUCCAAUGUCCCUCAAAGCCUUGAAACUCAAACUAGAAGCUACCAUUACAUGUUUAGACCACCAAAACAAUUAAGAAUCAAGAGUGAAAGUGAGUUCACGGCCAAGGAAGUUCUUGGGCCGUGAACUCCAUUUUAGGGUGUCAAAGUGCCCUAAAUGCCACCCUUAAGCCAAGAGACUAGCAUAGCUUUUUACCUCUAUGUGUCUAAGACCAAAAACAACCAAAAUACCAACACCUUAAGUGUUUAUGGCCGCAAACACAUGACCAAAUGGUCUAUGGGCGGAAAACUCAAGUUAGGGGUGUUUUGGUGCCACAAACACUUCCUAAGGCUUAGGCAUGAAUUUAGAAUGCUUCCUUAUGACCUUUAAGACCCUCAUAAACAUAUUUGGACAUGAGUUUACGGUUGUAAACUCAUUUGGGCCGUGAACACCCCAAAAGUGCCAAAAGAAGUGGUCUUUCUCAUCCUAGGCUAAAGCUAAUGUCCCUAAAUCAUUCCCUAGCUUUCAUACUUGCACUAACCCAUGAGUAACCAUAAGUUUACGGCCGUAAACUACCUUGGGCUGCGAACUCAUGGUAGUAAACUCAUUUGUGUGCCUUAUACCUUCCUAUGUUGAAUCACAUGUGAUUCCAACACUUGGUCAAGGUGUUUCCUAGUCCCGGAAGGUGUUAUCUUUCAUAUAGUUGUUAUAAACACUAUAUUCAUGUCAUUAUGUGUCCUUAAAUAUCAUUUAGGACUUAUUGUGUCUCGGGACUUCAUUCGUGGAACUUCUCAUCCNNNNNNNNNNNNNNNNNNNNNNNNNNNNNNNNNNNNNNNNNNNNNNNNNNNNNNNNNNNNNNNNNNNNNNNNNNNNNNNNNNNNNNNNNNNNNNNNNNNNNNNNNNNNNNNNNNNNNNNNNNNNNGGGGGGGAAUACAAGUAGAAAACAGCAUGUUAUUAAAUCAUCUAUAUGUAUUUUAUAACUGUGUUUUCAUUCAACAGAUUUCACAUACUACAAAAUGUGAUGCAUGAAAUGGUUUUCUAGCUUUAAAAUACUUUGUUAUCAAAUGUAUUACUUUUGAAAUGUUUAUCAAAAUGACAUCAAGUCACUUUUAUAUUUGUUCAAAACCCUUAGAUGUCUUACAAAACCAUUUUGCAUUCUUGAACUAAAUUAUGCAUAUACACUUAUAUUCUUUUAUAUGUAUUGAUGAUAUAGUUUACAGCUUUCAUUUAGUUUCUCACACCCUUGAGUAGUAAGAGUGUAUAAACCUACUUGAACAACCAAUUACCUUUCAGUAAAUUAUCAUAGGGAUAAUUUGAAGAUAUCAAACAUUAUUCCUAUUACAAGGAAUCACACAAGAGUCAGUUCAUUCAUGAGUCUAUACCAGUAUAUUACCUGAUACAUGAGUACGUUUACAUAUGCUUACAUGAUACAUGAAUAUGCUUACAUGAACACAUUACAUGCGUACCUUGACAUAGAUACACUUACCUGUGUAUAUUAACAUGAAUACUUGUAUCUCGAAUUGCGAGGAUGAUUUAUUAGUACCUUCUAUGUAAAUCUUCCUGCAUAUCCCCAAUACCUCCGGAUAUCUAGACAGAACCUUGUCCGUAGUACCUCGGGAUAUCUAGACGGGACCCUAUCCCUAAUACCUCGGGAUAUAUGGACGAGACUAACCAUUCCGGAACCUAGCUAUUAGCAACAGUGGGUGAUGAACAUCUACGAAUGUCUAAGGUUAUUACUUAUAUUAGGAGUCAAUUACGGGACUAACCCUUCCUCCGCCCUGCUGCUGCUACAGAGGACAAUUGGAAAAUCUUCGGAUGUUCAUUAGGUUAUAUAUGUCGUGUUAGCCCUAGUACCUUGGGAUAACAUUUACAUACGUCGUGUUAGCCCUAGUACCUCGGCAUAACAUUUACGUAUGUCGUGUUAGCCCUAGUACCUCGGGAUAACACUUACUUUAGUAUAUUUUCCAAUUUACAUUAUUUUGUGAUAAGUUAUACGUUUCGCUUUACGCGAUGGCGUGUUAGCCUUAGUACCUCGGGAUAACACUUACAUUAGUACUUUUUCCUAUUUACUUUAUUUUGUGAUACUUUCACCUAAACAAAGAGUUAGACUAAGUACUUUUAGCACUAAUCAAUAGAAAGGAAAAACUAUCAUUUUACUUACAAAACAUUCGGGUCUUGGUAGAAGACUACAUUAUCAUAACAAAACAUUCGGGUCUUGGUAGAAGACUACAUUAUCAUAACAAAACAUUUGGGUCUUGGUAGAAGACUACAUUGUCAUAACAAAACAUUCGGGUCUUGGUAAAAGACUACAUUGUCAGAACAAAACAUUCGGGUCUUGGUAGAAGACUACAUCUCAAACUGAUAGAAAAUAAGGGAUUUUCUAGGGUUUUUCAUACUUACAUCAACAUUUUCAUUUAAAGGUUUACAUGACUUUUAAAACAGCUUUUAGUAAGCAAGACAAUGACACUUAAAUACUUAUGAAUUCACCAGCUUUAAAGCUGAUACUCGCUUUCAAAAUAACUUGUAUUCUCAGGUCAUCAGUUAGACAGGUGCGAUGGCCAGGUUUUUGAGAAGAUGGAGCACAGACAAGACUCGCCUUAUUUUGAUUAUUCAUUUUAUUGUUGUACAUUAUGAAAGAACACACAUGUAUUAAAACUUUACUUUUAAUGCAAUGGAUGAUGUUGUUGCUUGUUUACUACUUUACACUGUUAUGAUACUUCACAUGACGUCCUCCACCCCUGAACGUUUCCGCCGUUCUUGGUUUUGGGGUGUGACAGAUUGGUAUCAGAGCAUUGUUUAUAGUGAAUAAAGUAUAUCAACCCAUAAAAGAUAUACUAACUAUAAAUACAUUGGGAUUAAAACACUCUGUCUAAGAGUUAUACUUUUAAAUAAUAAAAUAUUUAACAAAGUAUACGUGCCUGCAUUCAUACUAAAAUCAGUGUCACAAUGACAAGAACAAAAGUAUUACGAUUGUUGAAUAUCACAGGUAAGCUCGGGGAUGUAUGGUCAGUCUUGGGAGUGGCAUAGCCUGAUCAACUAUGCUGUUCCAAAGAGUGAUUAGCACAUGCCCAAGAAUGGUUGUGAUAUGACAACAAGUCUAAAAACUUACCAACAUCACCAAAAUGAGAACAUUAUAACGGAACCUAAGUCUAAAAUAGCAUAGGGGUGUUUUGUGUUACUAAAGUACUUAAUACUUGAGAACUAAAAUGGAAUCCUCAUUCCUAAGUUGAUAAUUGCUAAGUGGAUACGCUAAAGUUAUAUGUAACUAGGAUGUUAUAGACUUAGAAUCGGUGAAAUUUUUGCUUUACCCCUAUUCCUUGUGAAUUUGGAGUUGAGGUCACUUAUUCGAAGGCCUAUCCUGUGUUGAUUACAUAUAACUGGUAUGCACUUUACAAAUAGCGAUGUAACUAAUGAAGAUUUCCUAAAUAAUUAUCUAGAUAGUUCGUCUAAUAAUUAUUUUCUUACCCCAAAUUCUCGCGUAGAUAACAUGGCUGGAUUCCAUCCCCACGACAACCUGUUCCUUCCGAACGCGGUUAUUGCUGGAUGGUUUGGAGAAGAACCAGAUAAUGAUCAUCCAAUCCCUCUGAAUGAUCACCAUGCUGAAGACCUUUCAGACGAUGCCAUCUCCGAACUCGAGGUUGAGAACCUACCCCAGGCAGCUCCCUUUCCGAUUCCUAACCCUCGUCCGACUUUUCAUGGCCCGAAGCCUGAGGGGGUGGAAUGUUUGGAAACAUGGAACCAAGGACAAGAUCAGCCCAUGCCAUUUAAUGGUGACCGAAGCUUCUAUGACCUGAGCAAUGGGGGCUCAGCCGACAAAAGCAUGCCAAUUCUGAUCCGAAGAGUUGCCCGAAACGAAAUUCAAGGCAGGACAGCUCUACAACGUAUCGCAGAAGUUGAUACAAAUGGAGGAAUGCAUAUGCUUCGCACCAGUCGCCUUGAACAUGCUCGUGAGAGGUCUGAGAGAGACCAUGAAACCCUGCUGCAAGAACUGGCUGAAUCACGAGCCGAAGUCAUGGAACUUCGAGUACGCCAGAGAGUGUACGAAAGACACCUACUUGAUGUGGAACGCCAACUGGCUGAACUGAGAGUUCACCAGAGGGAUGACCGUCGCCAGUAUUAGAUGCUUUACUUUAUAUUCCUUAUUAGAAAGGAAUCGUGUUCCUGUCUAUGCCCGAUGUGGCAUUUUCUAUGAAACUAUCUUGUACAGUGAGUACUUUAGUUAGGUCUUUAUACUGUUAGGAACUAUCUUCUCUGGUUAUGAUGUAAGACCUUUUUACAAGGUCAUUUUCCCGAACUUGUACGUCAUGAAUAUCAAAGAUAUUGACAGUCGGCUAACUUCUGAGUCAUUCUUUAUUCAAAUACUCUUAUCAUACUUUCAUUAGAGUCUAUUUGAAUCAUGCUCUAGUCAAGUCAUUGGACUAUAGCCAUUUAACUCUGGAGACAUCUCCGAGUCUCUUUUAAUGGUUGGAUCACAUUAUUCGCCAACCAACGAUACCUCGGCUAGAACAACAAACAUCUUGAGACCAUUGCAUGAACUUACUCUCGAUCUUUGCUAGGACUGCAUCAUAGGGAUGUAGGUCAAACCUUCGUGAACAUACUUCCAUUCCGUACUAGGACUGCAUCAUAGGGAUGUAGGUUGAACCUUAGAGAACAUACUUCUAUUCUUUACAUGAGCGAUCGAACUAUGUCUAGGUUCAACCAUUCUCGCUCAAAAAUUCAUUUUCUUUCAGUGUAACAGAAUCAUGUCACCCAAGAAAAAUGAUCAGCCCUCCAACCAAACACCAACUCUUCAGAUUGAUGCAGCUACCUUUCAAGCUGCAGUCUCGGCUGCCGUGUCAGCUAUUCUGACCCACCUGAACGCUAACAACACAAGUGUUAGUGGGAUUGUUAACAAUCAUUCCAAUCCAAGUAAAAAACGGAAGUCUUGGAAUAAACCUAAGGACAAGUCGCUUCGAAGGGCGAACAGGAAACAACCACCAGUAACAACCUUCACAGCCACGACAUCAGCACCUCCAACUACCAUCCCUUCGGACAUCCCAAUUGUCCCUAAACCAGCCAAACAUUAUGCUGGAAGUCUCCCAAAAUGCAUUAAAUGCAAUUUUCACCACCAUGGAAGUUGUAGGGAGAAGCAGUGCUCACACUGCAACAGGAAGGGGUAUACAGCCCGUGUCUGCAGGAAGCCAACAGCUCAGGCCGCUCAAGUGCCAAACACCAGUGUGAACCAGGUUUGCUACGUUUGUGGCAAAGUUGGUCACUACAAAAGGAACUGCCCAGGGGCAGAAAUUGCUGGCACACACGGCAGUAUGCUACCGACCACCGCCGUAGGAGAGUCUACUCCGGACCCACGUUAAUGUAAUUUAGGCGUUUCGUUGUAACAAACUUAUGAACCAUCCCAAAACUAGUGUAACCAGUGUCUUAUCUUUUGCGGGAUCCCGUCCGUUUAGGGAUGCUCGUGCUGCGUAUACUUGUCUUUUGUAGUAUACCUUAUUCGCAACAAUAGUGUUGUAGUAAAUCCUAAGUACAGUAACUCUGUUAAUGGUUGCACUGUUGUGUUUUGUAUGUAACGCCUUAUGUUCAAAAUCUAAUGUCUUUAGUUUCCAUACGAUUCCGACUUUAUCAUGUGACUCGAGUAAAUUCGAUCCUUGCAAUACCAGCUUCAUAAGUACAUCUCUUUCUCAGAAAUCGUCUUUUAGCGAAGCCGUCAUAUCAGAACACCGAAGUACUCAUACAAGGAGUACCUUAUAGUUCUUUUCCUUUCCGAAGGAAUCCCCACAGUAUUACUCGUGCAGUACGCCAAGUUCAAUUCCAUGAUUCAUACAGUUGAUCUAUCACUGAAGAAUGUAUACAUGAGAGUGAUAUAUAAUCAAUGUUCUACAGGUUUAGAAUUGAUGAUUCCACUUUAACUUCUUUUCCCUCGAUGGGAUGUGAGAUUAAGGAAGAAUCAGUUAUUCGACUACCUUUUCAGUCUUAAUUAUAUAACAAAUCGUAUACACGAAAUUGUGAUUAUUGAAUCACGUAUGAAUUCUAAUAUGAACUUUAGAACCGAGACUGUCCAGGAGUACGAGUAAUUGCAUUGGCAUACAAACAAACUUAGAACCCAGUAUGACUCUUAUAACCAGAUCGCCUUCAGUCUAAGCACCUACGGAAGAUACAAGAAUAGCCCGGACAACACAACGAACUACUCAAAAAUAGAAUUAGAAGAUCGGGCUUCUAACCCUUGAGAGCUCCGGUCCUAUUAUUACCAGAAGUCGACGGAGUGCAUCUUAUGUACCUUGACGACCGGAGACUUCAUUAAGAUUUCCUUUAGAAAUUGUUGUCUCUGCCUCGCAUAGACGAACUGAUUGAGCAACCACAAGGAAAGUAUUACUUUCAGAAAUGGACCAGAGAUCCGAAUAUCACCAGUUCGAGUGUUAGGGAAGGAUGUCCUAAAGACUACCCUCCGAACUCGAUACGGACACUUCGAGUCCGUAGUGAUACACCUUAGAUAGGACCAAUACGACCAUAGUAUUCAUGAGCUAAAUGAGUGGAGUACGCCUUUCUUACUGGGAUCAGUUCGUCAUUUCUCCAUGUAAUGACUUACUUAUCUACCCUCGUAGUAAGAAAGAACCCAUAGAAACAUUACCCUCGGAGAUACUUUUUGCAAAGUUCUCUAAUCAAGAGUUUUGGAAUUUAUAGUCAAAUUUCCUGAGACACACUAUUAGUGUUGUGGAAAUUCUUGAGUACUCUGUUAAAUUAUCCAAACCCGUUGGGAAUUUUUCGGCACCGUAGUCACCGACGAAAAAGUCGCCAAAUUCUAGGUCUUAGAGACCUACUAUCAUAGUCCAUUCGGAACUCCCCACAAAUUUCAGAAACCCUUUCGACUUUGACCCAACAAGGGAUGGCCCUUGACUGGGAAGUAAGUGAGAGAAAGAACCUUUGGAAUUCCAAGUGGGAGACCAAAUUCAUUAGGAAACCUCACUCUGGGAACGGCUUAAUACGCUUCGUAAAGCGUGGAAAGCUAAAUCCAAUGUAGUUGGGACCUCCGAGCUUCUUACCAGAAUCGGUCCUACAUCUCACAAAUUAGACCUACUCUGCGCACUCAAUAACGUACAUUUUCCCCUUCGCUUCUCGAACUUGAAACAGUAUCCUUCCGUUAGGACUUUCGUAAUCCCUCUCGACGAGAUCGAGAUUUACGAGAUCCUUGCCUUCAUAUUAGAACCGUAGUAACCCUCGACCGAGAGGUCAAGCGGACGAAGCAACGCUGUCGCCCGUUAGUGAAGGUUCGUUGGGAUACCAACCGAGAACCCGAUUUCACUUAGGAGUGCGAGAACCAAUCAAUUAGGAAGUUCACAUGACGACUCGAUCAUUCGUACAUACUUCCUUGCCUAAAUUCUAAUUUCGGGAUGAAAUUCCCUUUAACAGGGGGAUGAUGUGACAACCCGGAAUUUCUAUUCUGAACAAACAAUAUCACUUCAAUAGAAGUUAUAAAAGUCAUAGUAAAUUUUCAGACUUUUCGGAUAAGUUUGAGUAAUUCAUGGUUUACACUUCAGGAGAUAUCAGGAGAGUGGAUGCACUAGGGUUUCGUGCAACACUGUUAUUCGAACACUCUAUCAUAUUAGAAAUCAUUUCGGGAAUAAAAAUAUUUUCUGCCAAAAAUAUCUCAGGACUAUAAAUAGAAUUCUGCACCAAAUUCAUUCAUUAUUCGCAUUUCCAACUAGAGAAAAGCCAUUUUUCUCUCACGGAUCUUUAGGUUCUUAACCCAAAUCGUGAGUACUUCAAUCUAGUUGUAUUAUAUAGCUUAGAUUGUGCUUAAUAACAUCAAAAUCACGACAGAACAUCAAGAUCUGUGAGUUUACUCCCCAAGAACAUCUUGGAGAGUAAACUCCUUUUCAAGAGCCAAAUGGUGCCUAGUUUUUCCUUAAGCCAUGAAACUAGUUUGGACUUGUACAGAAAUGAGUUUAGGAACAGAAAACAAACUCAAAACAACAAGAUUUGAGAGUUUACUCCCCAAGAACAUCUUGGAGAGUAAACUCCAUUUGGAGAGUAAACUCCGUUUUAAGGGCCAAUAGUGUCCCAAUGUCCCUCAAAGCCUUGAAACUCAAACUAGAAGCUACCAUUACAUGUUUAGACCACCAAAACAAUUAAGAAUCAAGAGUGAAAGUGAGUUCACGGCCAAGGAAGUUCUUGGGCCGUGAACUCUAUUUUAGGGUGUCAAAGUGACGUAAAUUCCACCCUUAAGCCAAGAGACUAGCAUAGCUUUUUACCUUGAUGUGUCUAAGACCCAAAACAACCAAAAUACCAACACCUUAAGUGUUUACGGCCGCAAACACAUGACCAAAUGGUCUAUGGGCCGAAAACUCAAGUUAGGGGUGUAUUCGUGCCACAAACACUUCCUAAGGCUUAGGCAUGAAUUUAGAAUGCUUCCUUAUGACCUUUAAGACCCUCAUAAACAUAUUCGGACAUGAGUUUACGGUUGUAAACUCAUUUGGGCCGUGAACACCCCAAAA